GCUGCCGCCAAACACUCAGGGAGUUUAUAACAGAGAGCGAGAACGCUGCAGAGCCGAGGGGAGGAGGAGAGUUAAAGAUGCAGUCCUCAGAAUAAAUGAUCAGCACACUUACCAGAAAUGGAUUAGGAGUCUAUAGGAGUUUAUUCCAGUUUAGUCCAGUUUAUUCCAGGUUAGUCCAGUUUAUUCCAGGUUAGUCCAGUUUAUUCCAGUUUGUUCCAGGUUAUUCCAGUUUAGUCCAGUUUAUUCCAGUUUAUUCCAGGUUAGUCCAGGUUAUUCCAGUUUAUUCCAGUUUAGUCCAGUUUAUUCCAGUUUAGUCCAGUUUAUUCCAGGUUAGUCCAGGUUAUUCCAGUUUAGUCCAGUUUAUUCCAGGUUAGUCCAGGUUAUUCCAGUUUAUUCCAGGUUAUUCCAGUUUAUUCCAGUUUAGUCCACUUUAUUCCAGGUUAGUCCAGUUUAUUUCAAUUCCAGGUUUUUCCAGUUUAUUCCAGUUUGUUCCAGGUUAGUCCAGUUUAUUCCAGGUUAUUCCAGUUUAUUCCAGGUUAUUCCAGUUUAUUCCAGUUUAUUCCAGGUAAAUCUGGGUUGCAGAAUGCAUCAUAGUCCUCAAAUGUCCCUGAAGGCCACCAUAGCUGCACUGACAGGAGGGAGAGUAAAAGAGCCAAAGAGCAGGUCCAGGUUCAGGCUCAGGUUCAGGUUCAGUCCCACAGAACCACAGAAUCAAACCAGAACACACCUGAGACCGGACCAGAGGAGGACAGCAAACACAGAAGGUGAGUGUGUGAGCAUGUCAACACAAACAGGAAGAGAGUCCAGGUCCCGGGUUCGAGGGCAGGUUCAUGGUUAUAGAGGAGUAAACUGAGUCUUUGUGAGCAGAAGUGAAAACAGGCUUUGUCCUGAGUUCAGAGUGAAAAGGAGCGGGAACUUUACAGAAACUUUACAGAAACUUUACAGGAAGUUUUCAUGGGAAUUAUUGUGAUUUAACUGUAAACUGGAGGUAAUUUAAACAAACUGAAUCAUCUCCAAACAGAAAUGUUUUUGUUUGGUCAUUAGCAGACAUCCAUGAAAAAUAAUACAAUUAAAAAAACGACAUUUCAACAGAAACACUAAUGAACAAAAUCAU